rnacentral:rRNA from 1 species
AACGAACGCUGGCGGCAUGCCUAACACAUGCAAGUCGAACGAGACCUUCGGGUCUAGUGGCGCACGGGUGCGUAACGCGUGGGAACCUGCCCUUAGGUUCGGAAUAACUCCCCGAAAGGGGUGCUAAUACCGGAUAAUGUCUUCGGACCAAAGAUUUAUCGCCUUUGGAUGGGCCCGCGUUGGAUUAGCUAGUUGGUAGGGUAAAAGCCUACCAAGGCGACGAUCCAUAGCUGGUCUGAGAGGAUGAUCAGCCACACUGGGACUGAGACACGGCCCAGACUCCUACGGGAGGCAGCAGUGGGGAAUAUUGGACAAGGGGCGAAAGCCUGAUCCAGCAAUGCCGCGUGAGUGAUGAAGGCCUUAGGGUUGUAAAGCUUUUUUACCCGGGAUGAUAAUGACAGUACCGGGAGAAUAAGCGCCGGCUAACUCCGUG